rnacentral:rRNA from 1 species
UACGGGGGGGCAAGCGUUGUUCGGAAUUACUGGGCGUAAAGGGCUCGUAGGUGGCCAACUAAGUCAGACGUGAAAUCCCUCAGCUUAACUGGGGAACUGCGUCCGAUACUGGCAGGCUUGAAUCCGGGAGAGGGAUGUGGAAUUCCAGGUGUAGCGGUGAAAUGCGUAGAUAUCUGGAGGAACACCGGUGGCGAAGGCGGGUCUCUGGGCCGAUACUGACGCUGAGGAGCGAAAGCGUGGGGAGCGAACAGG